rnacentral:ncRNA from 2 species
AUGAUCCCCGCGGAAGAGACCGGACCACGAGUCCGGCGCCGAAGGCGCAACCGCCCCGGAAACGCUCAGGCCAAAGGACCGCGCGGGAGCU